rnacentral:rRNA from 1 species
GGUUAAGCUAAUAAGAGCACACGGAGGAUGCCUAGGCGCCAGGAGCCGACGAAGGACGUGGCGAACAACGAAACUGCCUCGGGGAGCUGUAAGCAAGCUUUGAUCCGGGGGUGUCCGAAUGGGGAAACCCAGCUGUGGUAAUUCGCAGUUACUCAUACCUGAAUACAUAGGGUGUGUAGAGGCAGACCAGGGGAACUGAAACAUCUAAGUACCCUGAGGAAGAGAAAACAAUAGUGAUUCCGUCAGUAGCGGCGAGCGAACGCGGAACAGCCUAAACCUAAGAGCUUGCUCUUAGGGGUUGUGGGACGUCUCACAUGGAGUUACAAAGGAAUAUGGUAGGUGAAGAGGUCUGGAAAGGCCCGCGAUAGAGGUAAAAGCCCUGUAGCCUAAACUGUGUUCUCUCCGAGACGGAUCCCGAGUAGUGCGGGGCACGUGAAACCCCGUAUGAAUCCAGCAGGACCAUCUGCUAAGGCUAAAUACUACCUGGCGACCGAUAGUGAAACAGUACCGUGAGGGAAAGGUGAAAAGCACCCCGGAAGGGGAGUGAAAUAGAACCUGAAACCGUGUGCUUACAAAAAGUCAGAGCCCGAUCUAUGGGUGAUGGCGUGCCUUUUGUAGAAUGAACCGGCGAGUUACGUUUAACAUGCAAGGUUAAGCCGAGAAGGUGGAGCCGCAGCGAAAGCGAGUCUGAAUAGGGCGAAUUAGUAUGUGGACGUAGACCCGAAACCGUGUGAUCUACCCCUGUCCAGGGUGAAGGUGCGGUAACACGCACUGGAGGCCCGAACCCACGUACGUUGA